rnacentral:rRNA from 1 species
UACGGGGGGAGCAAGCGUUGUUCGGAUUUACUGGGCGUAAAGGGCGCGUAGGCGGUCAGCACAAGUCAGUUGUGAAAUCUCCGGGCUUAACUCGGAAAGGUCAACUGAUACUGUGCGACUAGAGUGCAGAAGGGGCAACUGGAAUUCUCGGUGUAGCGGUGAAAUGCGUAGAUAUCGAGAGGAACACCUGCGGCGAAGGCGGGUUGCUGGGCUGACACUGACGCUGAACUGCGAAAGCUAGGGGGGCGAACGGG